UAUUUCAAUCUUACAAGGUGUCUUUCCAGAUCUUAUGAAAUAUAGCAAAGUCAUACCUAUUUUUAAAUCGGGUGAUUCGAGUGAUAUGGCUAAUUUCCGUACAAUAUCAAUACUUCCUGUACUAAGUAAAGUCACUUCAACAGACAUACUUUACUUACAAGCAAGCAGUUUGGUUUCACAAAGGGCCGUUCCACGACCGAUGCUGCUUCGGUACUCAUUAAACAUAUUUAUAAUAUUUGGGAAAAUUCUUGUGAUGCAUUUGGCAUAUUUUGUGAUCUUUAUAAAGCAUUCGAUUGUGUGGAUCAUGGAACGCUCAUUUUGAAAUUAGAACACUAUGGUCUGUCAGAAAAUGCCCUAAACUUUAUGUCUUCUUACCUUAGCAAUAGAACACAAACAGUUGU